CCGGGGCUUCUUCUGCGGGUACCGUCAUCAUCUUCCCCGCUGAAAGAGCUUUACAACCCUAAGGCCUUCUUCACUCACGCGGCAUGGCUGGAUCAGGGUUGCCCCCAUUGUCCAAUAUUCCCCA
rnacentral:rRNA from 1 species